UUGAUUCUAUCCAUUGGUGUCGCAUUUUAAUAUGUAACUAUUUUUUGACCAAGGAUCACGUACGUUUAUUUUAAAUUUAGUACAUAUUCUAAAAGACGGUUUUUAGUUGUAGUUGAGAUAAUUUCUACGAACCAAAACUUUUUUAAGUGAUAUCUAUAUGUCUCAUCAAUGG